GAGGAUGAGAAUGCGCUGACAUAGUGAGGAGUCAUCUGGGCGUCACAUUCUACAGACAGAAGUUUUAGCUGGAAUAAGUCCUGGUGAAAUAUGUUUAGCCUGGAUAGGAUAUCAACAAUGGCUUUACAUAAAUAGCAAAAGAAGCAGAACCCGCAUAGUUUUAUUUGAAAUGAAUGCCUUCGAAAGUGAGAGGAUGUAGCGGUCAGAUUUAGAAACAAAGAUGUGAAGACUCCGACACACCAGUCUUCAGUUCAAUAGAUCACAGGGGAUCUCUCACGCCGGCCUCUAUAAUUAACAGGGAAAAAUGGCAUUUCUUUCUCAUUAUACCUUGAGCAAAGAAAGGAAGUCAAGUUACUAAUCUUCUAAGAACAUGUAUAAGUAACAGAGAUUCUCCAUUAGACUUUAAUAGUACUUCAAGUGCUUAUAGCCUGCCUUUUGUCAGAACAAUUGUCUCCGUUCUUGAACUGACCAAAUGCUUUGUGACAUGUACCAGGUACCCUGCACUGGAGGAUGAUGUCUCCAUUCUUCACAUAGGCGUAUUAUUAGUUAUAAUAAACACUAAAAGAUCAUACAGAAUAAUAAGCAUCCGUCAUGCCUUCCGCUCCAUGAUAAAAAUGCAAUAACCACUCACAUCCAGGAUUUUAACAGCACAAAUAGCACAGCAUUCUGCUACAUGGUAUUAUAAUGCUAAUGUGCGAUAAAGUAUUUUUCAUAUAAGGUCGACAUAUUUAGCAGCUUAGUACAGAGUAUGUUAUUUACUCCUGUUCAGAACUUCAUACACAUCCAUUUCACUGAAUACUUUCUGACCUACUGCCAUUUUUUUCUUAUUCUAAGACACACAAAAAAAAUCAUAUAGAUUCAUUGAAUCAUUGAUUUUAACAAAAUCUCUGUUUAAUCUAUUCACAUCAUCUUAUAGAGCAAGAGGAGCUGAUGGAUAAAUAGUUAUUUGGGAAAAAGAUUUAGGGCAUUCUCAAUUGAAAUCCUUGCUUUGCCUAUGCUUAGG